GGGAAUGUGGCUCAGUGGUAGAGUGCUUGCCUAGCAUGCAUGAAGCCAUUGGGUUUGAUUCUUCAGUACCA
rnacentral:tRNA from 1 species